AGCAAAAAUACACUAUCGAAUAUAUCGGAAGCUUUGUCAAGGAGGUAGUUUAAGAGCUAAUGCCAAUAAAUGAUGUACUAUUUAUAAUCACAGAUUUUUGGACUUAAUUUCACAAGCAAUAACUAUAAAGUGUUUUUUAAAAAUUUCUUCACCAAAUUAAUGUGGGACCACUUGCACAGUAUACCUUUUCAAAC